GACGAACGCUGGCGGCGUGCCUAAUACAUGCAAGUUGAGCGAUGAAGAUUGGUGCUUGCACCAAUUUGAAGAGCAGCGAACGGGUGAGUAACGCGUGGGGAAUCUGCCUUUGAGCGGGGGACAACAUUUGGAAACGAAUGCUAAUACCGCAUAAUAACUUUAAACAUAAGUUUUAAGUUUGAAAGAUGCAAUUGCAUCACUCAAAGAUGAUCCCGCGUUGUAUUAGCUAGUUGGUGAGGUAAAGGCUCACCAAGGCGAUGAUACAUAGCCGACCUGAGAGGGUGAUCGGCCACAUUGGGACUGAGACACGGCCCAAACUCCUACGGGAGGCAGCAGUAGGGAAUCUUCGGCAAAGGACGAAAGUCUGACCGAGCAACGCCGCGUGAGUGAAGAAGGUUUUCGGAUCGUAAAACUCUGUUGGUAGAGAAGAACGUUGGUGAGAGUGGAAAGCUCAUCAAGUGACGGUAACUACCCAGAAAGGGACGGCUAACUACGU
rnacentral:rRNA from 1 species